rnacentral:rRNA from 1 species
ACGGAAGGCAGCAGUGGGGAAUAUUGCACAAUGGGCGCAAGCCUGAUGCAGCGAUGCCGCGUGAGGGAAGAAGGUUUUCGGAUUGUAAACCUCUGUCAACAGGGACAAAAUGACGGUACCUGUGAAGGAAGCUCCGGCUAACUACGUGCCAGCAGCCGCGGUAAUACGUAGGGAGCAAGCGUUAUCCGGAAUUACUGGGUGUAAAGGGAGUGUAGGCGGGACUGUAAGUCAGAUGUGGAAUAUGCCGGCUCAACUGGCAGACUGCAUUUGAAACUGCGGUUCUUGAGUGAAGUAGAGGUAAGCGGGAUUCCUAGUGUAGCGGUGAAAUGCGUAGAUAUUAGGAGGAACAUCAGUGGCGAAGGCGGCUUACCGGGCUUUAACUGACGCUGAGGCUCGAAAGCGUGGGGAGCAAACAGGAUUAGAUACCCUGGUA